GACCACUCCUUAAAGGGAGUUAAGGCCAUACGGACAGCCGGGUCCACUGCCGA
rnacentral:sRNA from 1 species